GAGGAAUAUUGGUCAAUGGACGCAAGUCUGAACCAGCCAAGUAGCGUGCAGGAUGACGGCCCUAUGGGUUGUAAACUGCUUUUAUGUGGGAAUAAAGUGGCGCACGUGUGCGCCAUUGCAUGUACCUCAUGAAUAAGGACCGGCUAAUUCCGUGCCAGCAGCCGCGGUAAUACGGAAGGUCCGGGCGUUAUCCGGAUUUAUUGGGUUUAAAGGGAGUGUAGGCGGUCUGUUAAGCGUGUUGUGAAAUUUAGGUGCUCAACAUUUAACUUGCAGCGCGAACUGUCAGACUUGAGUACACGCAGCGCAGGCGGAAUUCAUGGUGUAGCGGUGAAAUGCUUAGAUAUCAUGAGGAACUCCGAUCGCGAAGGCAGCCUGCGGGAGUGUUACUGACGCUUAAGCUCGAAGGUGCGGGUAUCGAACAGGAUUAGAUACCCUGGUAGUCCGCACAGUAAACGAUGGAUGCCCGCCGUUGGCGCCCUGCGCCUGCGGCCAAGCGAAAGCAUUAAGCAUCCCACCUGGGGAGUACGCCGGCAACGGUG
rnacentral:rRNA from 1 species